UCAUUCCCGGGGUACCAGCUAGCAAGUGAGGCCUGCGCGUGUGCGGUCCACAGCUGCCUGACGACUCCCUGGGCCUGAUGCACGGGGGCCAGCAGAGCCAGGUGCACGGGCUCUGCGUCACCCUUUGCCUGGAACACGGCAGCCCCUCGCCGUCUUCCUCCCGAGUCAGCCCUUGGCUCGCUCUGCCCAGGGCCGCCGGGGCCUUCCCUCCCCUCCCCUCCCUGGAGACCCCGUGUCCCUCCCUGCUUGCUCCUCUGCCCUCCCCUCUCUCGAUCUGGCCUGGCCUCCUGGGCCCCUCCCUGGUCCUUGAGCUCUCUUGUGGCUCUGUCUUGGUGGCUCUGUCUCGGGGGCCUUUCUGUGAGCUGCUCCCAGGGGGACCCUGUUCCCAGCAAACCCUCGGGGCCCUCCUCCCCUUCCGGUCUCUGUUCCCGAGUCCCCACCUCAGUGAGGGUGGACCUCCCUGGACCUGCGAGCCCCACCCUUCCGGGUUAGUUUCUUCCGGGCACCAGUAAUGACCCAGCCAUUUGGGAGCUGUGGCUCUCCCCAGCAGGCUCCGCCUCCCUCUGCUUCUCACCAGGCCCAGGGGAAGUGCGGGGACCGAUGAGUGUGUGAGUGGACGUGGGGCAGGGACAGAUGUGACCGUUACCUGGGGCCCAGAGACUGGUGGAGCCGCUGUGCAGGCCUCAGACCCCUCCCCCGUCACUGCAGUUGAAAUCCUCCCCCAGGACAGUGGCUGGGAUUUGGGCCCAGUCCUCUGGCUCCAGACUCUGCCCAAGGUUCUGUCUUCAUUGGCCUGGUGACAGCUCCUUAGGUGCACGGGGACAGGGUAGCUGGGCCUGGGUCCCCUCCCUGGUCACUGUGGCAGCACCAGGCUCUCCUGCCUUCCUGCCCAGACUCCUGAGGGCCUCAGUGGAGGGGCCCUGUCCCCAAGCCCAUCCAUCCUGGGGGCAGGUCCCCAGCCAGCUCUGCCCAGCUUGUGGUGGGGGCCACUGCCAAGUCCCCCUGCUCCCCUGAGUUUCCUUCCAGCAUUUUCCAGGCCCAGCAGGCCCAUGUCCUCAGGACAGGGCUGCCCUCGUUCCCACUGUGUGGCUUGGCCCUGCUGCCUGGGUUCAGCCCGCAGGAGCUUCCUGCUCACUCCCCUCUCCGUCAGAGCCAGCCCACCCGUCCCCUCUGUCCCUGCUCCCUGCUCCUUGCUGAGGAACACCUGCAUCAACGUUGCCGUGAGCCCAGUGCCUGUUUCACAGCUCCCUCCUAGAGCUGUGGGCUGUCCAGAUCCCGGAGCAGGGCUGGUGAGGCAUCCCCGGGACAGGAACAUGGUGGGGUUCAGGCUGCAGGAGUCACAGGGAGACCCAGAAAGCUUUAUCCCCGGGAUGUCCUGCAAUAUUAGACGUGAAGAGAUGUCACACCAGGGUCAUGGAGCUGAGGGCAGGCUGAAGAGCGUACACAGGACCCUCGGCAGAGAAUGGCCUGCUGACUUGGAGAAUGUAGUCAUCCCCCGCGCACUGAGGCCGGAGGCCAGGGAGGCUGAGGGAGACACUGGGGAGGUCGCCGCUGCCAAAGUAGCCCCACUCAUCUGAGGAGCGGGUUAGGCAGAGCCAGGGGGUUCCUCCAAGCUGCCACUGCAGAAAAAGUGGGACCUGGCCGCAGGCCCCUCCCCUCCGGGUGGGCUCCGGAGCUUCCAGCACACUGGAGCUGGGCAGCCCUGAGUCAGUCACAGUGGGCAGACGAAGCUCCCGUCCCCGAACACGUGGGGCUCCGCUGUGUCCUUCCGAUCCGAUCCGUGGAUGCCUCCGAGGAGAGCAGCUCGGCUCCUUAAUUCUCUUCCGCUCUCCCUACCGAAUGAGCCCCUCAGAGGAAGGCAGGGGCAAGUCCUGGGGUCCGGCCGCAGUGUGCUUCUGGUUACAUUUCGGCUCCAGAAAGGCAGGCUCGCUGCGGAGAGGCCCUGCCUUAUCACAGUAGCGAGUCAGGACGGGCCUCCGUGGCGGACGUGGUGUGGAUGUGGAUGUGGAUGUGGAUGUGGAUGUGGAUGUGGAUGUGGGUGUGUGCAUGUGUCAGUGUGCACGUUUGUGUAUACGUAAGUGGGUGUGUUUGUGUGUGAUGUAUGUAGUGUGUGUGUGACUUUCACACGCGUCUCCGUAGAGCACAAUGUCUCAGAGACACGGGUCUGCGUCCACCUAGUUCGGCCACACCCAGAGUCCUGGUGUGUGGCGUCCUCAUUCCUGCUGGCUUGGGCAGUGACCUCCUGAGCGUCUGUUCUGCACCCCCGGAAAUGGCAGCCUGGCACAGACCCAGUGCCCAGCUCUGGAUUCCUGGGGAUCCCCCUGGUCCCAUGUGCUCCUCAGACGUCAAGCUCCUGCAGCACACAGACCCGGGCUUUUCCGCUGACCUCUGGUUUUACCCUUUCCUCCUGCUUCCCCUUCAGGUCCCGCCACCCCUUCUUCCUGCCAGGCUCCCCGAACCAGGUGGUGGGAGAGGCUGCUCCCCUUUGCUGGAGGUCCCUGCCCGACGUCCACACAUAAGACAACCUGUCCAGCGAGGCUUUUGUGAGCCACUAGAGCCACCCUACAGCUCACCUGGGCAGCAUGUAGGACAGUUCUGUCCCCUCGGUGCCCCGUGUUCUGGAUUCCCGUCCCCAGCUUACUGUCCUGACCCUGACAGUCCCAGCUCCUGCCUUCUCCAGCGCUUCCUGCCAGCUCUCUGUGUGGCUCACAAGAUUCCUGUCCCUCUGGUCGCUCCACUGACGCGGGGAAGGCUGGGCCUCGUUUGUCCUCCGUCCUGGGCUCCUGACACCCUGCUACUCCCUAGCUGCAUCCACCGUCAGCACCUACUCCAUCACCCACCCAAUCCCUUCUUGUCCCGGUGACUGUGACGACCCUCUGUGGGGUCUCCUGCUUCUGCAGCUGCUCCAGGGGCAGCAGAGUGAGUCUCACAAUGUGCGUUAAGAUUGUCACUCUCACCUAAAUUCUUCAAUGACUUCCCAGCGCUCUCACCUUAGAACGCGAACUCCCUACUGUGGCUUACCUGACCCAGCCCGUGUCAUCUGGUGCCAACCUUCCUUGAAUCGCUCCGUCCCCUGCUUGCUUUGCAAUAAACUCAUCACCACCUCAGAAUCUUUGCAUUUGCUGGGCCUGCUGCUGAAAUGCUCUCUCUCUAGAGCCUCUCUUGCUUGCCUCUUCUCAUGCCCUGGGUCAUGGCUGGAACGUCCCCUCCACCUGUCUGAAGCAGUCCCCAUGUCCUGGGCAGUCACCUUGCACCUUCUUCUGUCUAUUCUGAUUCCCUCUGAGGAGUUACCCAGUCUGUGACCACUUGACUCAUGAUGUUGUCUGUGUCCUCCAUGGGUGAGGCCUUGGUUCCAGGACAUCGUGUAUCUGGCACCUAAGAUUCACCUACGAAAUACUCAACGAGCGGGUGAGUGAACGAAUGAAUGGAAGCUGAUCCUGACACUGAGUAGAUUCAGCUUGAAGCUCACCUGUCUCCUGUCCCAUUUCUUUCAAAGAUUCCUACAGCCAAGGACUAAUGAAGAAUUUAUUUGUGCUCAUGAAUAUGUAUUAGGUCUUUCACGAUAAGAUGUGCAUAUUUUAAUAAGGAAUGUCUAGAGACACAAUUUUUAAGUUGAGGGACAUCAGCCCAAUAACAAGGAGGUAAAAUGCUGCUGAGUGUAGCGUGGCUGUGUAGGACAUAAGGGCCCUGACCAGCAUCAGGUCAUAGAACUUGUGGCCUCUGGGGUGCAGUGGGGGGGGGGGCGUAGUGCCCUGGGUGUCAGCACAGAACUAGUGACAAGUGCCCGAUAGUCACCUCCUCGGGGGUCUGACACUGGCAAGUCUCUUCCCUCCUCCACGGCUUCAGCACUCAGUCUAAGUGGGGGUCCUGACCUCACAGGGGUGCAAGGCUCAGAUGAUACAACAUCAGGGUCCUGACAUUUCCUGAAUUAUAAGUCUUUGCUCAGGAAAUAAAUGAGAUUAUGGUAAUGAGUAAAAGUGGCCCUAUUUUUGGCUUGGAGAAAGAGAAAAGCCCAAAAUAAGUAGCUAAGGACAGUUGUUGGCAUCACUCACAAAGAGUUCUGUGGAAUUCAGGCAGUUCUGGCUCAGGGGCUCAGGACCCAGGUCCUUCCAGCUGCCUGCUUGCUGGCUGGCUCUUGUUGACCAUGAGCUGACAGGAUCGCUUCCCAGCUCCACAGUCGCCGUGCCUACGACAGUGCCCAGAGCAGGAAGAAGAGGAAUUGAAGUGUCUCCCUGUCACCUCUUCACAAGCGUCUGCAAACUCACAUGUGGGUGAGGGCUCUGCCACAUGUUCUCCCACUAUUUGGCCAAGACCACACCCCGUGCUUCCCCCUAGACCAGGUGCCAGCAGAGAAAAUGGCGUUAUUGUGAUUGAACAUUGGUUUCCCAGCAGAGGCACAGCUCCAGGGAUGUGUUGGAAAUGUGUCUUGCCUCAGUGGCCGGUGGCAGGGCUGGCAUCAUCACGUUCCCCAUGUGUGGGACAAUCCACAUGAGACAAGUUGUCGCGUUUCCCACCCAAAUCUCAGUGUCCCUCUGGGCAUUCACUUGUGCAGGAGCCGUGUCCCUGUCUUAGCCCAGAGCUGACACCAACUUUAGAUGGAAACGAAACUUCUGCAGGAUUUUAACACAUAUAGAAUAUCCUACUAAUAGGCAUUGUCGCCCUUGUUUCUCACCGUCUUACUUCUCUUUCCUCCAAACGUGUUUUCCAGGUGUCUGUGAGGCCCUAACUAGCCUAAGUCUGCUCAUUUGCAUAUUUAAAUAUGAUUUAUUUCAUCACAAAUUAUUGUUCUUUUAUUUCUUUUUUAUAAUCCACUUAGGGCGCUGUAAUGCAUUUUUAAGUAGGUGUGUGAUGUUCUAGGUUAAUUAUUUAUGACUUUCAUUUCAGGGCAGUAAAGAGAUCAUUAAGCACAUUCUUCAUGAGGUUGUGGGGUUGGAUAGGGUGGAGACUGCUGGCCUGGAUCCAUCGAACUGGUGCCCCAGGACAGAGCAGGGGGAGUCUGGGCUCUGGGCUGCAUUGGGGUGGGGAUGGGUUGAGGUCCAGGGUGGCUACUGGGUUGGCACCAACCACAUGGAUUGUGUCACCCAUGCACAGCCAUGUUGGUUACCUGUGCUGCACAGAGCCAGGUGGGUGCUGGGAAGGAGCUGCCUGGAAGCGGGGCAGAGGCACCAAGAUGGCCAGUGAGGCAGGGCUGGGCUUGCAUUAAGCCCUGAGACUGGACCCUGGGAACUGUCAUGCCCAGGUCCUGUUGGCCCUUGGUCACCAGAAUUGCACUGAUUUAUGACCAGGAGAGAAUUUGCUGGUGGGAAUGAAAGUUGGAUUUCUGAGUACAUCCCAGAGAGCAUGGGGGGAAGGUGUGGUGUAUGACCAGUACCCAGCUCAUGGGCAGUUCUGAAUGAGGCUUCUCUUUCAUCUGACACUUCCUGAGCUUGUGUUGAGUACAAGAGGUCAUGUACCAGGUGUGGCAGUUUGGGGGCAUUGGCCCUGAGCCUGCCCUCAGGAGCUUCCUGUUUGGCCAGAGAUGUCGCUAAUGGGGGUCAUGUUCAAAUGAGGCUUAACUGGAGGAAAGGGCUGCAUUUUGAUUCUUGCUUUAUUUUGAAUUAAGGAAUGAAAUAGUUUCUUAAAUGUUUAUCCUUUACUCUUAAAUUAUGUUAAUCUGUUCAUCCAAGGAAUAUUUAUGAGCAUCUAUUAAGUGCCUGUCUUCAUUGUGGGUGCCAGAAAUCACAAAAACACAAAAAAGAAGAAGAACAGGAAGGCACAAGAACCCUGGAGAAACAGCCUCCCGACAUCUCCGUGCAAGUGUAUUUCAAGGUUUAUUUGUAGGAAGUUGUCUCAUUUUCUCAAGCCUCACACCACCCUUGGCUACUACACGAGUCACCCGGUAGCAUGUCCCGGGGGACAAGCACAGAGUCUGACCUGGGAGUACAUAGCAUAUGCACCAAAACAGCUGUAGGGUUUUGCUAGUUUUCAUGUGGCAGAACCCUGGGGAUGCUGUGUGCAAUCAAUAAAGCGUGACUGAGGAGGGCGGCGAGUAACAGGGACUUGAGUCAAGCUGGGGACAUGGUACUCGAGCUUGGGAUUCUGAAUUGAAGGGUUAGCUCCGGAAGCUGAAGGGUCUCUGUUUACUUACUGGCAGCCACUCGGUUUAGGAUUAUAGAACAUUCCUUGCAUGAUGUAAAGGAAGACACCCAUGGCUUAGGGACAUAGAAGUGUAGUCAGUGACACGCACAAUCCCUCCAUCAACCCACUCCCUGACCCCAAGGGCCUGGCAGAACCUUGGUUCACCAAGGCAGUGUUAGUCACCUGACAGAGCAACUUCCUCCUCAGAGGUCUCUGUGGGCUCUUCCGAGGGGGCAGGUGUGAGAGGGAAGUCAGGGAGACACUGGAUGGUGGGGAUGAGGACAAGUGACAGAAUUCACCCCUGAAGACAAGAUGGGCAUACUGACUAUGUUUUCCACAGGAAAAGAAGUAGUGGGUUGGGGAUUUAGCUCGGUGGCACGGUGCCUGCCUUGUAGGCACAAGAUCUUGAGUUCAAUUCCCCGUACCAGAAAAAAAAGUAGCAGCAAUCAGCAUGACCCUCCAGGAACCUUUCCCUGUUCAUCAUGGCAUCCUUAGAAAUGAGGUAGAUGGGCUGUGUACCAAAGCACUGUUUGAUCUGUGUCAUAGAAAACUCCAGAUCCAGUGGCCAGAAACCACCACAAUGGACCAUCAUGGCCUCUCGCCUCAUCUCCUCACAGAAGCCAGAUGAUCAGUGGAAUUUUGACACAGAUACAAAUCACAGUGGACCCAGAAGUUUUGUAGAUUCAUUCUACCAGUUCUUUGGCAACUGGAAUAACUCAUGGAGCAAAAUCCAUGAGUGGAAGCCCUCCCAUCAGACUGCAGUUUGGGGUGAAUUGCAGAGAUCAGUGCCAUCCUCAGUGACUUGAAAGAUGCCUAGGUGAAUCCCAUCAGAUCCCCACUGACUCACCUGUUUGCCCUGUGUGGAAGCGGAUGGGUUUUGUAGCAGGACUUCAAACCUCAUCAGGUGGUGAAGCCAAUUGUAGCCACUGUCCCAGAAAUGUCUUGCUUGAGCAAAUCAAGCUGGUCCCCACCUCAGAAACCCCCUCUUGACCUGGAGAAUGCGUUAGUUAUUUUAUCUAAAUGAGUUUCUAAGGAUGAGGAGAAGCAGUUUCACCUACUUGGCAGAGCCAGCAGUACAUGUUCACAUAGUCCUGCCCCAAGGCUGCACUGAUGCCCCUGCUUUGGCCACAGUACAGACUUCAGUGUUAACUAAGUAUUGAAAAAUCAAAAUACAAAGAGAGAACACUAAGGCAGGGGUUGGUAAACUAUUGUUCAUGGGUGGGUUGACUGUUUUUGUAAAUAAAGUUCUUUCGGAGCACAGCCGUGACCAUUUGUUUAGUUACUGCUGUGGCUGCUGUCAACAAGGAUAGAGGUGAAUAGUUACAACAGAGAUCAUGUGGCUUGCAAGUCUCUAAUAUUUACUGUGUGGCCCUUUAGGAAAAAAUGUGCUGAGCCCUGCACUAAGGGGUCAGAGAGGUAGCAGCUGAGACUUGCAGAAACAGUGGGGCUGAAAAUCGUCUGGCACUGGCUGGUUGAGGAUGCUGGUGUAUCUAAGGGCACCAUGGUGACAUUAACAAGGACAUAUUAAAAAUAGGAAGAAGCAAAACCAGGAGAGGAAGCAGUCAGGAAAGAGCAAGUACUUUCUUCCUCUGCCAGGCUCUCAGUCUUCCUUUAGUGCCCUUUGGGGGCGAAGCCCCAUAGGAAGUCAUCAGCAAAGCCCCACAGGAAGCCUCCAGUGACUCCUCAGUGUGGUUGCAGAGUUGUUGCCCUUUACCAUAAGGAGCACCGGGCGUGUGGGGAGUUGCUGCAGCCAGAAGCCCACUGUCCUCUUCAUUCUGAUAAUUGCACAAAGAAUAUAAAUUCAGCAAUAUGUGUGUGAUCAGUGGUCCCAUUGUUUUCCCCCCUAAGAAACAAAGUUCUGGGAUAUCCACACUCAGGGGUCAUGAUUUCCCAGUAGUUGAUAAUAUCAAGGCUCCUUUAUUCCCCCUCCCAGUAAAUCUAAUUUAUAUGGAUGGGGAGAUUAGGCAGUGCAUUUCCUGGCAUCAGAAGGCUGUGAAUCAUUCACAAGGCUUUAGGAAACUUGGGGAGAUUAAGGUUUUGCAUAAUGCAAAUCAGGAGAAGAUGUUGGCGCUGCCUCACUGUGGAUGCAAUUAGUGCAAUGUGCACCACAAGAAAUUCAUUUUCCUGGGACAGAGGAAGGUCUGCUUGGUAUGCAAAAGAGCAUGGUUAUUUGCAACACAAGAGCCCAGAACUCAGUUAGGAGAGCACCCUGUGACUGUUUGAUUUGCAGCUUUAAAGAAUUUAAGGAUGAAUAAAACAUUGAAUUAAUUUUCAAAGGACCGUUGUGAAAUGGCAUAAGAUCUAAGUGUACAGUGAAAACAAGAGUCAAAGCUAUGCCUGUGUUGUGCCCUGGGCUUGGGUCUUGAAUCUUUUGUGCUACCUGGAAUCCUCUCCCAACUCAUCAGGUCCAACUCAAGUCCCCUCUUCCAGGAAGUCCUCCGAGCUCACCCCAGCCCAUCCACACCUCCUUUGUCUGAUCAAAGUUCACUCAUUCAGUACGCACUGGCUGACCAUCCACCGUGUGUCAGGCACUUGCAGUACCAGGCACAUGGGACAGAGUAGCCAGUGAAACAGCCAAUGAUGUGCUUCUUGGAGCUGACAUUCUAGUGGAGAAAGAGACGUUGUCAAUGUAUAGAAGAUGCUGGAUGCUACAGAGUGAAGAAAGUCAAGGGGCAGGGGCAGUUUGUAGGGAGGACAGGAAAGGCCAGGAGCUAGGGAUGGUCAGGGAGGGCCUGGGGUGGUGACAUUUACACAGGGAACAAUGGGUGGCUGGCAGAUGCGGGUGUCCUGGGAGACAGUCACGGGCGUGGAGGAGCAGGUGCUAUGGUUAUUGGUGGAAUAAUGGCCAGGGCCGGGGCGGUGGGUGUGCAGAAGGGGAGGAGAGGGAGAUGAGUCCCAGUGAGCAGCACCAAGAUUGCAUGAGUCCCGUUCAUUCAUUCAUCCAUUCACCUAAUUCAUUCAUUCAUUCAUUGAACAAAUACUUUCACGGCUUGUGAGCCAGGACUUGCAGUUGUAGACCUGGGAAUCCUGCUCCUGUGGGAUUGUAUUCUGCUGGAGAAAUAGAGAAUAAAUAAACCAGCAAAGUAAUUUCAGAGUGUGAUGGGGAGACAUGAGAGUGACACGGUCAAGAAGGUGGGCCUGGAAAUUCACCACUGGCUGCCAGGCCCAGGGUGCUGGGGGAGUUCUUACAAGUGACUGUUAACUUCCUCCUAAGCCCAUUUAGCAAGUGGGGCAACAGCGGCUCCCUGGGGGCAGGGACUGUAGCUUCUGCUUUUUGCUCUCCCUCUACAGAGUCUGGGAAUGUCGGCAAGUAGAAUGAAUUCCCUUCUCCUUCUCCUGGGGUCAGCAUGAGACUCCAGGAGGUUCUUAGAAAUACAGCGUCCUCUGCCCUCUCCCCGCUGGGUGGCCAAGACUCAGCGCUGGAUGAGUGUGGAGGAGCAACUGGAUUUGGGGUGAGAAUCCCCAGCUGGGGGCUCCUCUCCCACCCACUGUAGUCACUGUGGGCUGAGGGCUGGUGGAGGCUAUGUUGCAGCACAGGGCUGUGCCUGCUCUGGGUGCACCAGACCAGGGGAGUGGGCACAGGGCCCAGCUGCAGAGCAGAGGCUGGCAGGGCUGGCUCUCAGCUCUGCUGCCCUGGCUCUGACCUCAGGCCGACCAGGCAGGGGACAGUGGCUCUCUUCUGUGGGGCCUCCGGGGCUCCUGCUCCAGCUGCCCAUGCUUUGGUCUCCAUGCAGCCACAGGGAGCCCUUCGGGUUCCAGAUCUGACCUCACCCCUCCCUGCUCAGAACCUCCCAUGGCUCCCUCUCCACACCCAGAGAGAGCCCAGGCCUGAGAGGACACCAGCGACCACGCUCCUGAGCCAGGCUGCGCUGGGGUCUCCUGGGAGAUGUCCCAUGAAUGUCAUCACUGCCUUUCUCACUGGGGACCCCCACGAGCAUCUGCUCAAUGCAUGCACUGAGGAAGGAAGAGUUGGGUGAAGUGUGGGGUGUCCCCAGAGCCCCAGGGACAUGUGGGGACACAGGGGAGGGGCCUGGAAGGUCCUCAGUGGCAGCCGCUCCCUUUAGGGGCAGUUUCUUCUCAGUCCACAGCACUGAGCUGCUCUGCUGCCCCAUGGCUCAGGGGUGUCCCUUUCAAACAUGGGGGUCCUGCUGGCCGUCCCCCUCUGAUGGCUGCAGAAGGGAGGGAGGGAAAACAGAUGUGAUUUUGCCCCUG